GCGAUAAGCGCCGGUAAGGUGAUAUGAACCGUUAUAACCGGCGAUACCCGAAUGGGGAAACCCAGUGUGACUCGUCACACUAUCAUUAACUGAAUCCAUAGGUUAAUGAGGCGAACCGGGGGAACUGAAACAUCUAAGUACCCCGAGGAAAAGAAAUCAACCGAGAUUCCCCCAGUAGCGGCGAGCGAACGGGGAGGAGCCCAGAGCCUGAAUCAGCAUGUGUGUUAGUGGAAGCGUCUGGAAAGGCGCGCGAUACAGGGUGACAGCCCCGUACACAAAAGCGCAUGUGCUGUGAGCUCGAUGAGUAGGGCGGGACACGUGGUAUCCUGUCUGAAUAUGGGGGGACCAUCCUCCAAGGCUAAAUACUCCUGACUGACCGAUAGUGAACCAGUACCGUGAGGGAAAGGCGAAAAGAACCCCGGCGAGGGGAGUGAAAAAGAACCUGAAACCGUGUACGUACAAGCAGUGGGAGCACCCUUUGGG
rnacentral:rRNA from 1 species